rnacentral:rRNA from 1 species
UACGUAGGUGGCGAGCGUUGUCCGGAAUUACUGGGUGUAAAGCGCGUGUAGGCGGGAGGCCAAGUCUGUGGUGAAAUCGCUCGGCUUAACUGGGCGGGGUCCAUGGAAACUGGUCACCUGGAGGUCGGUAGAGGCAAGUGGAAUUCCCGGUGUAGUGGUGAAAUGCGUAGAGAUCGGGAGGAACACCAGUGGCGAAGGCGGCUUGCUGGGCCGAUACUGACGCUGAGGAGCGAAAGCGUGGGGAGCGAACAGG